rnacentral:rRNA from 1 species
UUAUACAGCGAAACUGCGAACGGGUCAUUAUAUAAGUUAUCGUUUAUUUGAUAGCACCUUACUACUUGGGUAACCGUGGUAAUUCUAGAGCUAAUACAUGCUGAAAAUCCCGACUCCGGAAGGGAUGUGUUUAUUAGAUUCAAAGCCAACGCCCUCUGGGCUCACUGGUGAUUCAUGAUAACCGCUCGAAUCGCACGGCCUUGCGCCGGCGAUGGGUCAUUCAAAUUUCUUCCCUAUCAACUUUCGAUGUUUGGGUAGUGGCCAAACAUGGUUGCAACGGGUAACGGAGGGUUAGGGCUCGACCCCGGAGAAGGAGCCUGAGAGACGGCUACUACAUCCAAGGAAGGCAGCAGGCGCGCAAAUUACCCAAUCCCGACACGGGGAGGUAGUGACAAUAAAUACCGAUAUAGGGCUCUUUUGGGUCUUAUAAUUGGAAUGAGUACAAUUUAAAUCCCUUAACGAGGAACAAUUGGAGGGCAAGUCUGGUGCCAGCAGCCGCGGUAAUUCCAGCUCCAAUAGCGUAUAUUAAAGUUGUUGUGGUUAAAAAGCCCGUAGUUGAACGUUGGGCCUGGCUGGCCGGUCCGCCUCACCGCGUGCACUGGUCCGGCCGGGCCUUUCCCUCCGCGGAACCCCAUGCCCUUCGCUGGGCGUGGCGGGGAAACGGGACUUUUACUUUGAAAAAAUUAGAGUGCUCCAGGCAGGCCUAUGCUCGAAUACAUUAGCAUGGAAUAAUGAAAUAGGACGCGCGGUUCUAUUUUGUUGGUUUCUAGGACCGCCGUAAUGAUUGAUAGGGACAGUCGGGGGCGUCAGUAUUCAACCGUCAGAGGUGAAAUUCUUGGACCGUUUGAAGACUAACUACUGCGAAAGCAUUCGCCAAGGAUGUUUUCAUUAAUCAGGGACGAAAGCUAGGGGAUCGAAGACGAUCAGAUACCGUCGUAGUCUUACCCAUAAACUAUGCCGACUAGGGAUCGGGCGAUGUUAUUCUUUGACUCGCUCGGCCCCUUACG